GUGGACAGCUGUGAAAAGUGGCC
rnacentral:piRNA from 1 species